rnacentral:rRNA from 1 species
CCUACGGGGGGCAGCAGUGAGGAAUAUUGGUCAAUGGACGAGAGUCUGAACCAGCCAAGUAGCGUGAAGGAUGACUGCCCUAUGGGUUGUAAACUUCUUUUAUAAAGGAAUAAAACGAGGCACGUGUGCCUUUUUGCAUGUACUUUAUGAAUAAGGAUCGGCUAACUCCGUGCCAGCAGCCGCGGUAAUACGGAGGAUCCGAGCGUUAUCCGGAUUUAUUGGGUUUAAAGGGAGCGUAGAUGGGUUGUUAAGUCAGUUGUGAAAGUUUGCGGCUCAACCGUAAAAUUGCAAUUGAUACUGGCAGUCGUGAGUACAGUUGAGGUAGGCGGAAUUCGUGGUGUAGCGGUGAAAUGCUUAGAUAUCACGAAGAACCCCGAUUGCGAAGGCAGCUUACUAACCUGUGACUGACAUUGAUGCUCGAAAGUGUGGGUAUCAAACAGGAUUAGAUACCCGGGUAGUC